rnacentral:rRNA from 1 species
GAUGAACGCUGGCGGCGUGCCUAAUACAUGCAAGUCGAGCGAACAGAUGAGGAGCUUGCUCCUCUGACGUUAGCGGCGGACGGGUGAGUAACACGUGGAUAACCUACCUAUAAGACUGGUAUAACUUCGGGAAACCGGAGCUAAUACCGGAUAAUAUAUUGAACCGCAUGGUUCAAUAGUGAAAGACGGUUUUGCUGUCACUUAUAGAUGGAUCUGCGCCGCAUUAGCUAGUUGGUAAGGUAAAGGCUUACCAAGGCAACGAUGCGUAGCCGACCUGAGAGGGUGAUCGGCCACACUGGAACUGAGACACGGUCCAGACUCCUACGGGAGGCAGCAGUAGGGAAUCUUCCGCAAUGGGCGAAAGCCUGACGGAGCAACGCCGCGUGAGUGAUGAAGGUCUUCGGAUCGUAAAACUCUGUUAUUAGGGAAGAACAAAUGUGUAAGUAACUAUGCACGUCUUGACGGUACCUAAUCAGAAAGCCACGGCUAACUACGUG